rnacentral:rRNA from 1 species
GACGAACGCUGGCGGCGUGCCUAAUACAUGCGAGUAGAACGCACAGUUUAUACCGUAGCUUGCUACACCAUAGACUGUGAGUUGCGAACGGGUGAGUAACGCGUAGGUAACCUGCCUGGUAGCGGGGGAUAACUAUUGGAAACGAUAGCUAAUACCGCAUAAUAUUAAUUAUUGCAUGAUAAUUAAUUGAAAGGUGCAAUUGCACCACUACCAGAUGGACCUGCGUUGUAUUAGCUAGUAGGUGAGGUAACGGCUCACCUAGGCGACGAUACAUAGCCGACCUGAGAGGGUGAUCGGCCACACUGGGACUGAGACACGGCCCAGACUCCGACGGGAGGCAGCAGUAGGGAAUCUUCGGCAAUGGACGAAAGUCUGACCGAGCAACGCCGCGUGAGUGAAGAAGGUUUUCGGAUCGUAAAGCUCUGUUGUAAGAGAAGAACGGGUGUGUGAGUGGAAAGUUCACACUGUGACGGUAUCUUACCAGAAAGGGACGGCUAACUACGUG